GUAGGCCAAUUUAAUUUACAGUUUUUUUUUUAUCGAAUUAAGUAUAAAUUUACAAAUAAAUUUCGUAAUAUUUCUAAAUUUACCAUAAGCAAAGGCUAAUAUAAAUGUAUCGUAUUAUUGCACCAAACAGGAGCUGGUUUACUGAAAAGCUUGAGAAAAUGGACCAAAAACAAACCAGAAGAAUGAGAAACAUGAGCAACAACGAAACUUCAUAAUGAUCAAAAGUGUAUGCUCCUAAACCGAAAUCAAAUCAAGAAGAUGGCGACCGCACAAACCGCCUUCCCUCUGCUAAAACGCAAAUGGAGCUUUUCGGUAUGAAACUAUCAAGCCAUGAACAUCAUCAAUCUAUUAAAAGAAUUAAGCAGAAACCGCAUAAAAACGUGUUAUUACAUUCGUCAAAGUUUUUCCCUAAACGUAAAAUCCAAAGAAAAGUAACUCGUUACAUUGUCGUUCGGGUCGCUCUGAUUUCUUGCCCAAACGAUUGCAUCUGGGCUCUGCAGCUUGCUCUCGUUUCUCCUUCUCCGCCAAAUGGUUUCCAGAUUCUUCAAAAUGCAUGUAUCUUUAGUAAAGGGAAGUCUCUUCAAUCCAGUUUCACUGAAGAAAACAGGUAGUGCACAAACCAGAAGGAUGAAAGGAAGCCAACUG
rnacentral:lncRNA from 1 species